UACGGGAGGCAGUAGUGGGGAAUAUUGCACAAUGGGCGCAAGCCUGAUGCAGCCAUGCCGCGUGUAUGAAAAAGGCCUUCGGGUUGUAAAGUACUUUCAGUCGUGAGGAAGGUGUUAAGGUUAAUAACCUUAGCAAUUGACGUUAGCGACAGAAGAAGCACCGGCUAACUCCGUGCCAGCAGCCGCGGUAAUACGGAGGGUGCGAGCGUUAAUCGGAAUUACUGGGCGUAAAGGGCACGCAGGCGGUUAAUUAAGUUGGAUGUGAAAUCCCCGGGCUUAACCUGGGAAUGGCAUUCAAGACUGGUUAGCUAGAGUCUUGUAGAGGGGGUUAGAAUUCCAUGUGUAGCGGUGAAAUGCGUAGAGAUGUGGAGGAAUACCGGUGGCGAAGGCGGCCCCUGGACAAAGACUGACGCUCAUGUGCGAAAGCGUGGGGAGCAAACAGGGAUUAGAUACCCGU
rnacentral:rRNA from 1 species